CGAAGGUUAAGCUACUAAGGGCGCACGGUGGAUGCCUUGGCACUAGAAGCCUAAGAAGGACGGGACGAACACCGAUAUGCUUCGGGGAGCUGUAAGUACGCUUUGAUCCGGAGAUUUCCGAAUGGGGGAACCCACCAUCUUUAAUAGGAUGGUAUCCAUUUCUGAAUACAUAGGGAAUGGAAGGCAGACCCGGGGAACUGAAACAUCUCAUUACCCGGAGGAAGAGAAAGCAAAUGCGAUUUCCUGAGUAGCGGCGAGCGAAACGGAAUCAGCCCAAACCAGAGGGCUUGCCCUCUGGGGUUGUAGGACGUCUCUUUGGAGUUACAAAGGCACGGAUAGACGAAGCGACCUGGAAAGGUCCAUCAGAGAAGGUAACAAUCCUGUAGUCAAAAUCCGCUGCCCUCCGAGACGGAUCCUGAGUACGGCGGGACACGUGAAACCCCGUCGGAAUCUGGGAGGACCAUCUCCCAAGGCUAAAUACUCUCUAGUGACCGAUAGUGAACCAGUACCGUGAGGGAAAGGUGAAAAGCACCCCGGAAGGGGAGUGAAAGAGAACCUGAAACCGUGUGCCUACAACUAGUUGGAGCCCGUUAAUGGGUGACAGCGUGCCUUUUGUAGAAUGAACCGGCGAGUUACGAUCCCGUGCAAGGUUAAGCUGAUAAGGCGGAGCCGCAGCGAAAGCGAGUCUGAAUAGGGCGAAAUAGUACGUGGUCGUAGACCCGAAACCAGGUGAUCUACCCAUGUCCAGGGUGAAGUUCAGGUAACACUGAAUGGAGGCCCGAACCCACGCAUGUUGAAAAAUGCGGGGAUGAGGUGUGGGUAGCGGUGAAAUGCCAAUCGAACCUGGAGAUAGCUGGUUCUCUCCGAAAUAGCUUUAGGGCUAGCCUCGCGGCAAGAAUCUUGGAGGUAGAGCACUGAUUGGACUAGGGGUCCUUACCGGAUUACCGAAUCCAGUCAAACUCCGAAUGCCAACGAUUUAUCCGCGGGAGUCAGACUGCGAGUGAUAAGAUCCGUAGUCGAGAGGGAAACAGCCCAGACCACCAGCUAAGGUCCCAAAGUAUACGUUAAGUGGAAAAGGAUGUGGCGUUGCUUAGACAACCAGGAUGUUGGCUUAGAAGCAGCCAUCAUUUAAAGAGUGCGUAAUAGCUCACUGGUCGAGUGACGCUGCGCCGAAAAUGUACCGGGGCUAAACGUAUCACCGAAGCUGUGGAUUGUCUUACGACAAUGGUAGGAGAGCGUUCUAAGGGCUGUGAAGUCAGACCGAAAGGACUGGUGGAGCGCUUAGAAGUGAGAAUGCCGGUAUGAGUAGCGAAAGACAAGUGAGAAUCUUGUCCGUCGAAAGCCCAAGGUUUCCUGAGGAAGGCUCGUCCGCUCAGGGUUAGUCGGGACCUAAGCCGAGGCCGAAAGGCGUAGGCGAUGGAUAACAGGUUGAUAUUCCUGUACCACCUCCUUUCCGUUUGAACGACGGGGGGACGCAGAAAGAUAGGGAGAGCGCGCUGCUGGAAAUGCGCGUCCAAGCGAUUAGGCUGGUGAAUAGGUAAAUCCGUUCACCGUGAAGGCUGAGUCGUGAUGGCGAGGGAAAUUUAGUACCGAAGUCCUUGAUUCUACGCUGCCAAGAAAAGCCUCUAGUGAGGAAAGAGGUGCCCGUACCGCAAACCGACACAGGUAGGCGAGGAGAGAAUCCUAAGACGAUCGGGAGAACUCUCGUUAAGGAACUCGGCAAAAUGACCCCGUAACUUCGGGAGAAGGGGUGCUUCCUCGGGUUAAUAGCCCAGGGGAGCCGCAGUGAAAAGAUCCAAGCGACUGUUUAGCAAAAACACAGGUCUCUGCAAAGCCGUAAGGCGAAGUAUAGGGGCUGACACCUGCCCGGUGCUGGAAGGUUAAGAGGAGGGGUUAUCCCUUACGGGAGAAGCUCUGAAUCGAAGCCCCAGUAAACGGCGGCCGUAACUAUAACGGUCCUAAGGUAGCGAAAUUCCUUGUCGGGUAAGUUCCGACCCGCACGAAAGGUGCAACGACUUGGAUACUGUCUCAACGAGAGACCCGGUGAAAUUAUAGUACCUGUGAAGAUGCAGGUUACCCGCGACAGGACGGAAAGACCCCAUGGAGCUUUACUGUAGCCUGAUAUUGGAUUUUGGUACAGCUUGUACAGGAUAGGUAGGAGCCAUAGAAGUCGGACCGCCAGGUUCGAUGGAGGCGUCGGUGGGAUACUACCCUGGCUGUACUGACAUUCUAACCCAGCACCGUGAUCCGGUGCGGAGACAGUGUCAGGUGGGCAGUUUGACUGGGGCGGUCGCCUCCUAAAGUGUAACGGAGGCGCCCAAAGGUUCCCUCAGAAUGGUUGGAAAUCAUUCGCAGAGUGUAAAGGCACAAGGGAGCUUGACUGCGAGACCUACAAGUCGAGCAGGGACGAAAGUCGGGCUUAGUGAUCCGGUGGUUCCGCAUGGAAGGGCCAUCGCUCAACGGAUAAAAGCUACCCUGGGGAUAACAGGCUUAUCUCCCCCAAGAGUCCACAUCGACGGGGAGGUUUGGCACCUCGAUGUCGGCUCAUCGCAUCCUGGGGCUGAAGUAGGUCCCAAGGGUUGGGCUGUUCGCCCAUUAAAGCGGUACGCGAGCUGGGUUCAGAACGUCGUGAGACAGUUCGGUCCCUAUCCGUCGCGGGCGCAGGAAAUUUGAGAGGAGCUGUCCUUAGUACGAGAGGACCGGGAUGGACACACCGCUGGUGUACCAGUUGUUCCGCCAGGAGCAUAGCUGGGUAGCUACGUGUGGAAUGGAUAAGUGCUGAAAGCAUCUAAGCAUGAAGCCCCCCUCGAGAUGAGAUUUCCCACAGCAUUAAGCUGGUAAGAUCCCUUAGAGAUGAUGAGGUAGAUAGGUUCGGGGUGGAAGCGUGGCAACACGUGGAGCUGACGAAUACUAAUCGAUCGAGGGCUUAACCUA
rnacentral:rRNA from 1 species